CCCAUGGUCCCUGCACCCCAGGAGCCAGGAGCUCAUUAAAGAGGGAAGGCGUCAUUACAUGCCAGCUUCUGAAGGGAAAUCUGAUGCAAGUGUAUUUCAAUAGGAAAGAGAGGACCCUCCCCUGAUUUUCUUCUCUAUUAGUUCUCUAAUGUACACUGACGAGCUGAGAGCCUGACAAAUCAGCAACAAGAGUGGAAUGAACCGAAGAACAACCAUAUCCUAAUCUAGUUCUGAAGAACGGAAAAGCCAUUAGAAGGAAGACAAAUAAAGAAGACAUGGUGGACACGCUUGGUUGCUGUACGUGAUCUGGUCCUGUAGUGUCCAAGCACACAGCUGUCACUUGGUGUGAAUAGGAUAGACCCCUCCUAACCCUGCCUAUCGCCACGGGGAGGAAGGCCAAGGUUGGGCGCGAGUCUUCCAAUCCAUGAAAACCUGCUUCCCUGGGAUCUGCAAAAGUGGGGCUCUCCCCAGGCUGCUGAGACCUUGCAGGCUGGGAUGUAUUCAGUCUUCUCUCAGCCCUGGAGCACUGCUUCCUGCCUCCCUGCACAGAAUGACCUAG
rnacentral:lncRNA from 12 species